CUCUUAUCCAGAGUUGGUGGAGGGACAGGCCCGAAGAAACCCCAGCAACCAACACCUGUUAAACAAAGGUGAAAAGGUGCUAACCUGCAAGGCGUUGCCUUGAAAGAUAAGAG
rnacentral:ncRNA from 2 species